CCCUUAGAUGUUCUGGGCCGCACGCGCGCUACACUGAUGCAUUCAACGAGCACCCGCUGGGCCGAGAGGUCCGGCUAAUCUUUGAACGUGCAUCGUGCUGGGGAUAGAUGAUUGCAAUUAUUCAUCUUCAACGAGGAAUUCCUAGUAAACGCAAGUCAUCAGCUUGCAUUGAUUACGUCCCUGCCCUUUGUACACACCGCCCGCCGCACCUACCGAUUGAAUGGUCCGGUGAAAUUCUCGGACGCGGACUUGCGAUGUUAAUUCGGAGCUUGACUGUGAAAGUUAAUUAAACCUUACCAUUUAGAGGAAGGUGAAGUCGUAACA
rnacentral:rRNA from 1 species